GAUUUGCUCGUGGAAAAAAAGAGGAAAGAAAAAGAGAGAAUCUUUUUAGUUUCUUUGUUUAGGAAUGACAUGGUGCGAAAAGAAAGAAUUUCUAAGCAAUUUAAGAAGGGGAGGGUGAGGGUCACGGUGCAUGGUAGGAGCCCAUAUAAUUUAGGGUUUUAAAGGAGUUAGAUAAUUCAAAAAAUUUGAAUCCUUCCAAAUUCGAAAUAGUAUUUCUGAGUCUCUGUUUGUACAGAUUUUGAGGGGUUGAAAUUGAAGCAAAACAACAUGAUGUGUGGGGGUGUUUAUACGCCAUGACUCACCCCGACGUUCAGUUCAUAGACUAGCGUGGCUUUUUUUAAAAGUAAAACCCUCGUCUCCUCCUUUUUGCUUCUCCUCAUUUCCCGAGGUGAAAUCCUUCUUCUCUCACCAUCGAUGAACUCAACCAAUCUUCUUUCAGCUGUAACGAAGAAGGGUUGUUUUGUUCUCUCAAAAGAUCACGUUCUCUGUCAAAGCUCGAUUACAGCAGUUCAGCAGCUGAAGGAAGAUUACAACUGCAAGUCCGUACCCUCUUAGCCUUGUUUUGGAUCAUCGGAAUAUGCAGCUGCAGAUUGAGGAAUUGAAAUUUUAUAAUGAUGUCAAAGCUGCAUUAGGUGAAACUCCCCUACUCUAUGCAGCCGUAGAAGGGCAUUUGGCUGCUGUGCAGUAUCUUCUUGAAAUGGGUGCCAAUCCUGAAAUAGUAGAUGAUUCAAAUAAAAGUCCUCUGCAUCAUGUCGCUAUGAAAGGCAGGUUUUAACUGAUCUGUAGGAAGAAGAAUUUGUGAACGCCCAGUUCCAUCUCUCUCGCGGGGAUACAGCGCUCCUAUUCAUCUUGACUCUGAUCUUACUGAUAGUGAUCUUUUUUUUUCUACUUGCUCAUGAUUCAGAUGAGUUUAAUCGUUGGGAGGCGGGGCAAGUGUUGGCUAGAAAUUUGAUGCUUAGCUUGGUUGCUGAUUUCUAGCAAAGCAAACCAUUGGCUCUGAAAGCAGAUUAUGUGCAUGGGUUCAGAAGCGUACUAUCUGACAUUAGCUUGGAUAAAGGGAUACCAUGGACAUGAUGGAGAUUGAUGAUCCUGAUGCUGUUCACGCUGUUGGAUCUUUUAUCAGGAAGCAUCUUGCUUCGGAACUCAAAGCAGAAUUUCUCAGGACGGCAAGACUUGUCUUCGAUCAUUCGAAUAUGUCAAGACGCGCUUUGGAGAACAUCGCCCUUGCCUAUCUAGCCUCUCUUGAGGAUGCCCAGAUCACCGAACUUGCUUGAAUGAGUACAGGACUGUAAAAAUAUGACCGACCAGUUUGCAGCUCUAGCAGCCUUGUCCAAAACCCUUGCAAAACCCCUGAUGAUGUUCUUGCUGAUUUCUAUGGUGUACUCACUCAUUGGAGGAUUCUGUGGGUCACUAGUUAAUUUCCAUGCAGAGGAUGGUUUAGGCUAUAAAUUCUUGGGAGAGAUUGUAGUGCAACUAGACAAAAUAAACCCCCAGGUU